rnacentral:misc_RNA from 1 species
UGUGGGAGCGGGCUUGCUCGCGAAGGCGGUUUGUCAGGCGUGAAUAUAUUGACUGACACACCGCCUUCGCGAGCAAGCCCGCUCCCACA